rnacentral:tRNA from 1 species
GGAGGGUUAGCCUAAUUGGUAAGGCGGCGGAUUUGAAAUCCGCUGGGGUUACUCCCUUGGGGGUUCGAGUCCCUCACCCUCCG